CCAAGGGGUCCGGACUCCCCCCCCCAUUGACUCGUGUCUCGUACAUGUAAAUGUUUGUGAUUUUAUAUGUUUAAUAAAAACAAAUUAUAUCAUAGGAUAUGACAUAUGUCGAUAUGAACAAUUUUGUAAAAAAAUUUCGAAGCGUCAGUAUUAUCAACAUUUUCAAUUGUUAUCACGAUUUUUCGUUAUCAGUUUGGAACCAAACAUGGUUGAAAAAUACCGAGUUCUUGGUUAUUAAACAAACGCUCUGCUUUUAUCAAAUUAAAUUAAAUGAUAGCGGUAGCUGGUAGAUAACAAUGAUGACGGACGGUUUUUCUUAUUUAUGAUUAUGCAUUACAUGAUCUUCAAAACCGUUCGAAUUCGAAACUUCGCUGUGUUGUUUUUUGUUUAAUUAAUCUUUCAAAAAUUCAAAAUGAACAACACACCUAAAAUAACAACUUUUUUCACUGCAAUUCGGUCUACAGAGUCCACUUGUAGUAAUGAGACCCCUAGCGAGACUGCCGAGACUUUAAAUCUGAAAAGGUCUAUCGACGAAGACGGUGAGCAAAGUUUGAAUAAGAAAUUAAAUUCUCAGGUCCGGGAUAAAUUGACUAUACAAUAUUACAGCCGAAGAAGAUACGGAAUUGUAACUAUACGAGGUAUAACGUUCCAUUGAGAAGAUUUGUAUUUUGUUGUAUACCGUUCGAAUGGUGGUAUAGGUACCUGCUGUACAAUAAAUUAUGUAGGUACAAUCGUACACACAUAACUGUCUAGCAUUGUUAAACGCGCACAGAGGAUUUGGCGCGAAACAACAAUUUUUCAAACCGUUUCAAUUGUCCGGGACAAAUUUUUUUCCGUUUUAAUUUACUCGACCGAGAUUUUUUCUCGGCCAUUUCGGUCCUCGUCAUUUCGUCUCGGUUUUCACCCUCGUUAUGGGCAUAGAUACGUACACAUUAUGAUAUGUUUGAAAGACUAAUUUUUGUCGACCUUUCGGAAUGCGUUUACUCACCAUACAUAGAUCCCCACCCCGAAAAACACACACACACAACCGCGCGCGUACUCACAGCCUAUAUAAUUUUAGAUACGUGCUAUUAUAAAGAACAGAUACGCAGUACACACGCACGCACACACAUGUAGAAUAAUCAUGUAUAGCUAAAGCAUCGAUGUUGCCGUUAACGCAUACGGCAGCAGCAGUACCUAGAGACAUCGGUGUUUUUCGUAUCUCCCAUUAUAUACACCUGUCCAGGGCCACACAUCUACACAAACACACACUCUCUCACAUGUACACUCUCUAGCACACACACAGACACACGCACACGCACAAGCGUACGAGAGUACUGUGUAAAGCGCGAGUGCUGCAGCACGGAUAGGAUCGGUCCUAUCCUGCGACAGAGUGGGGAUGGUGGUGGUGGCAGUGGCUGCGGCGGCGGCGGCGGCGGCGUAUAAAGCCGCAGACUCCUUGCCGGGUACAAAAACAGGUUUUGAACAAACAAGAAAUAAACAUAAAAAAAAGAAUAAAAAUAAUAAUGAGAAAGAGAACAUAACGCGUAUAAUACCUGUGCCUUGGGUAAUUCUUCGAACUCGGCUCUUUCACCUCUGCCGCCGCGGUGGAACCGAAUGGAAAGAAACACCUUAUCUCCCUUCCCCUAAAUACAUAUAGGUACGUGUAUAGUAGCCGUAUAAUAUAUAUAACUAUUUUUAUUGCAGAGCCUCCGUUGAGAGAAUUAUCGACGUGCCACUCAGCGUCUCGACAAACACAUACACACACACACACACACACACAUACACACAUGAGUGCGCGUGUGAGGGGACUUAACGGUUUGUCGACUCGGAAGGAAAUCGUUUCCUCCCCCCUCCCUAAUUUUUACUUCUCGCCGAGAAAAACUGAUUGCCUGCAGUAACAUAACCUAUAUCUAUCGAACUGUUUUUGUAGUUUAUCAUUUCGUCCACUGUACACAAGAGAUAUCAAGAUAUCACAAGAGAAAAAUCCACGAACAGUUCCCCGAACAUUCUUGUUCGAUGUCUUUUUUAAUUGUAUUCAAUUCAUGCUAUCGCAGCAUCCAGCUUUGUUACGUUUCAUAUUAUUAUAUUUCGACGUCCUGUAAGGCAAAGAUAAUGUCUCCAAUUAUAUCGUUCGUUGCGCGUAUAGUGAUGAAUAGCAUUCGUGUUCAGUCGCCUCCCUUUGACGUGUCUGCUUUUUGCGGGUCUAAACGGCGGUAAAUAGUUUCUAUUGUACGGCCGAAAACACAUGUUAAUCUCAAUGUUCAAUGACAAUAAUAUGUAUGACGAGCGUUUCUUCUCGGAAAUGGGUUUUUUACUUUAACCCAUAGAAAUUCACGAGACGCCAUGCUAAUGUUUUUUGUUUAAAAAAGAACUGUAAUUAAAACUGGUAAUAAUAUAUACGUUGUUUGGAUGAAUUACACGUUUUAACAGAAAAGGAUAAAUAAUAAUUUUCGUGUUCCAUUAUUAUAAUAUUAUGCACACCGACACGUAAGAAGUCGUGGGGAUAAGAUAACAAUUAAAUAUCUGAACAAAGAAAACAUCAUCCGGUUCCGCGAUGAAUUGGAUUGGUUAGUUUAACGAAAUCAAAAUGGUAUCUAGAAAAUACGUAUGCGGAAAAAAAGAACAGAAAACAUAACUAUACUAUAUUUUUAUGCAGGUUGUUUAACGUGUCGAGAAAAACAUGGAUAAACGCGCAUGGAGCACCUAACUUGUUUUUGCCAAAAAUGUCACAUGCCACGCGCUUACGUGCCAUAGACCAUCCGUAUAACAACUGCGUGUCCCGCGGAGGCGAAUAUUUUAUCGAGUUUGUGUCGCGUAAACGUCGGUAAUACUCGAAUGGACAAUCAACCGGUGUUUGGUUAGCGGUGAAGGAGAUGCGAAACCAAUAUGAUGUCUCGUUUUUCAAACGUGUACACGUCCGCGGUAGCUGCGAUCUAGGCACGUGAACAAGGUUAAUAUUGCAUGUUAUGACCGCGAAAAUUCUUACGAACGGUCAAGGGGUACAGCAUGCGGAGAGCGUAGUGCGACGGAUCGAGUAGUCUCUGUUAUUUGAACACGGUACUGCGAGUGGUCGCAAGUGUUGAACCGGUGUCCGUACGAGAGUUGUUGAGAAUCGAUCGAUGAAUGCGCGUCCCCGGAAAACUCGCUAAUCGAUCUGUCGGCUUACCUCGAAUACAACGUGCCGCGAGCAUAGACGCAACUUGAGUUUACAUUUUUGGACAGAGGGACUGCUAUAAGUACCAAUAUAAUACAGAUUUGCAGGGGUCACGCCAACACUUGCCCUGAUUUAUAUAGAAACAAAAUUUGUUCCCGCCUACUAAAGGUUCAGUUAAAAUGUUAGCAAGAAGAUAAAAAAAAGCGCCAUUUCGAUAGCUAAAUUUUGAUUUCGGAUAUUCCUCAAUAAAACGGAAGCCAUAAUACACCGAAUAACGAUUUAAUAACUACGAGUAUUUCGUCCGCCUAUUGAGAUUAUGGACAUAUAUAAGUAAAUUUUAUCUCAAUCUCAAACACAAAAUUCUGAGAUUCAUAAUUGUUAAUCUGCGGUUGCUAUGGUAACAUCGAGGAAAGCUGAGCUCUUCCCCUCCAAAUCCCCCCUAGUUACGACUACGGUGGCUGGACCGAACGACUAGGGCGGUUUUUUCACAUGACCGCUACGGCCGGCCGGUCUGAAAUCAUUGCUGAUCGAAGGGAAAAAAACGAAAACAACCCGACCCGUCCAAUGAUACAAACGAUGCGACGACGUGAAGACAACCGCUAAAGAUGAAUGGUGUAUUGUAUUCUCAGCCGUACGUUGUGCGAUCUCACGGCCUCUGGCCAUCACACCGUCCGCCGCGUGCUCGAGUUCAAGGUGACCGCGUGCUACAGGCCCGACGCACCCGUACAGCUAUCGUCAUCGAAGCCGUCGCAGUCGGGGUGCGUACCUUCGUGUACGCAUUACACAGUAUACAGAUUGUCACACGAACGUAUUAUUAUACCCGUUGCGGUACACGUUCCGAGACAAAAAAAAAAUAACCGUAUCCUGUUUUUUGUUUUUUUUUUGUAUAUAUAGUCACGACUCCCGAGGAUCAUGAUUACAAAUAUUUUUAUUGCCGUUUUAUUGUAUUGG